GAACGAGACCUACGCACACUUCCAAACUGAAAAAAACUUCUUCCAGAUAACUUCAAACCAACUCAUUCGCACGAGACAAAACAGAAGUGGUUCUCGCGGCCAACAAUUCAAACGCCGAUAUCAGCGAACCUGAGGCAAUAAUUAAAUGCGACUUAUUUGGAAAAUGUUGAGCAUCGACGUAUCUUAUAAAUGGCUUGCUUUUAUUUUUAAUAUAUGUAUUUGUACUAUUUUUUUAAAUAAAAUUUUGAUCACUCUCGCACGGGACACUUUUUCCAACAUGA